GGCUGCCUCUGCACCUCUCCGUCUUCUCCUCACUGUCUCUUUGCCUUCACCCUCGUGCACCUGACUUCAGAAAGGAACAUUUGAAAGAAAAGCCUUCAGGCUGCCAUUCACGUCCUAUGACCAUGUCAGCUACACGUCCUGCCCCUCCCAACACCCAUGUGAGUUAAAAUUUCCAAUGUCAUUACUCCCAAGUGUGCCAUUGAGAUUAUCAAAUCAUAUGUCCCAAAAUCUGGCUAAGAAAAUAUGCUUGCCAUAUUUAUAUCCCUCAUGUAGUUUCCCAUUCAUAAAUAUGUCAUGCAUCUAGGCUCCUUGCUGUCAUUUCCAUAGUGACGUUAACCACGGGCCAGCUGUUGGGGUAAGCUUUUUAUGUGCCUUUUCUCUUCGGUCCACGCACUUGCAUCUGGGGCAGGAUCUCUUGGUUACCCCAUUUCCCAGACAAGGACACUGAGGCAGAAAUAGAAAGUUACUUUCCCCAGAUCCCACAGCUAGCCAUUAUCAACAGAGGUGGAUUUGAAGCAUGUGUGCUUCCAACCGCGAUCUGUCCCCUGUCCACAUUAAAUAAUCUUGUGAGCCUACGACCACGCACCUGAUAUCUUCAGGGACAGCGCUUAGCUCCUCCUCUUGCUCCUGACCAGAUGCUGCUGCUGCACUCAAGGACAGCCAUGACACAGAGGCUAGUGUUCCUGGCUGCCUGACUCCUUCUAAGAACCAGUUACUGCGCCUGACAUAAACAAAGUUGCUUUUUCUUUUUUCUUUUUCUUUUUAAAUUUGUUUUAAUUACUUAGGGAGGUUGGUUCUCUUAAUGCCAUCAGGAUCUUAUGUAAAAUGGGAUAGUUCUAACUUUUAAAAGUUUCCAUAAAGACAGACUUCUCUGCUUCACAAUCAAAACUGAUCCUAUCACUUGUGCGUUCCCAACCAUUCCAUAUCACCCCACUCCUUACAGAAAAUGGUAUCAAGUAAAGCGUGUGAUGGCAAAGCUCAUUCUCUCGGUGUGAACUCAGGAGUCAGCCUAAGUAAUUCUGCCAUUGAUUUUGAUUUUCGUUUGUGCUACUAAACAACGUAACAUCCACGAUGAGACGACUUGGGUUACUUUACAAGGUGGACAUAGACCAACAUGCAUAAGGAUGGUACUUCUUUGUCUUCAGCUAAUGAGGUCAAGUUUUACAGCCAUACAGUCCCCUCAGCACUUGAAUGACAGUAGUGACAGUCACACCAACUUAAUCUUUCCCCAAUAGAAUGGUAUCUAUUUCACUAUUCAUUUUUUAUUUCAUAAAGAAAAAGUUGUCUGUAUUUAGGGUGUUCAGUAGGAGGUUUUGAAGUCUGCUUUGUGAAAUGGCUAAAUAGACCUAAUUAACACAUGCAU
rnacentral:lncRNA from 1 species